rnacentral:snoRNA from 1 species
CCGGCCUUACUUGAGCAGGAUCUGUUUUCCAUUGACGCAAUGGAGACGCACAACAAUCUAGAAGAUGACCUAGUGCCACGUGGCAAGAGUGUGAAUAUUGGCACUGGGCUUCACUAGCCCACGAAGAUCGCUCUCAUAACCAACGGCUGAUGAGAUGGCCAUGUCGUCUGGCAUACC